GGUCAACAGCUAGCGAUCGUGAAGGAGGAUCUGUUUCAAACUAUAUUGGACUGACUGAGAAACCUCCUCUAAAGCUUUUCCCGCUACUAGCUGGAACAUUACUAUCUUCUGCAAGUCCAGAUCCUGGAGAUGUGGUUAAUCAUUUCAUCAAAGGACUCAUCAAACACAGACCUGACACAGAUAGAAAACUGACAUAUCAGAAAAUUGUUGGAAGAAAUAUCCAUCUGGUUCAGUUCCAAGCUGGGAGAAAGGUACUGGAGACAAAAUGGAGACUGGAGGCUGAUUGGAAAGAGGGUCAAUUUAUUGAUGAAGUAGAACCACCCAGCAUGUGUGAUUCUGGUUAGCUGAACAUAUUGAGUUGAGAGUGAGGCGUUUUUAUAUCUUCUCUUGGGCUUUGCACUUGAGUUUCCUGUUCCUGUGCAAAAACAUGUUAUUCUAUUGACUGUUGUUGGACUCCCAUGUGGCCAUGUAGGGGUUAUGUAGGGGUCAUAGCCGGCUCUAUAGGUUGUCUGAGCUUGAAGUUUCUGAGGGUGAUGCAAUGUCCUUAGGAAAUUGUGCAAUGUAGUAAAUUCUGUGUCUUAAUGGGUUAAUCCUAUUACGUCCUGAAGGGUCAUGUCUUAAUCCCUUCACCAUGGAGCUGAAGGUCUUUUGUUUUGUAGAUAGUCUGGUCCAGUCUUAAUGGGCACAAAAUAUCUGCUGGGGGCAGGGAGCAGGGGCUCUGAGUUUCUGUCUCCCUUAAGAUUUUUUUAUUUCUCUUUUAGGGGAAAUAUUUUAUGCUGGCUUUUAAAAAUAUUCCUCAAAAUAUUUCAUUCUUCUAGGAAGAGGGGAGUGGCUUCCCACAAUAUGCUGGGAUUCCUCUGAGUGAAAUAAUAAAAACCUUCUUCACCAAU